AUUGAACGCUGGCGGCAGGCCUAACACAUGCAAGUCGAACGAGUGGCGGACGGGUGAGUAAUGUAUGGGGAUCUGCCCGAUAGAGGGGGAUAACUACUGGAAACGGUGGCUAAUACCGCAUACUAUCGGAUGAACCCAUAUGGGAUUAGCUAGUGGGUGGGGUAAAGGCUCACCUAGGCGACGAUCUCUAGCUGGUCUGAGAGGAUGACCAGCCACACUGGAACUGAGACACGGUCCAGACUCCUACGGGAGGCAGCAGUGGGGAAUAUUGCACAAUGGGCGCAAGCCUGAUGCAGCCAUGCCGCGUGUGUGAAGAAGGCCUUAGGGUUGUAAAGCACUUUCAGCGGGGAGGCGUUACUCGCAGAAGAAGCACCGGCUAACUCCGUGCCAGCAGCCGCGGUAAUAC
rnacentral:rRNA from 1 species